rnacentral:rRNA from 1 species
UACGCGGGGAGCAAGCGUUGUUCGGAUUUACUGGGCGUAAAGGGCGCGUAGGCGGUCGUGACAAGUCACUUGUGAAAUCUCCGGGCUUAACUCGGAACGGUCAAGUGAUACUGUCGGACUAGAGUACAGAAGGGGCAACUGGAAUUCUCGGUGUAGCGGUGAAAUGCGUAGAUAUCGAGAGGAACACCGGUGGCGAAGGCGGCCAACUGGACGAAUACUGACGCUGAGACACGAAAGCGUGGGGAGCAAACAGG